UAUGGCCAUAUUACGCUGAAUCACCGGUUUCCAUACGAUCACCGAAGUUAAGCAAUGUCGAGCCUGGUCAGUACUUAGAUGGGUGACAGAUUGGGAAUACCAGUUGCCGUAAG